AGAGUCACUGGUUUAUUCCAUUGUUUGUUCUUGAUCACUUCUUCACAGAGGUUUAAUAUCUAGGCAAGGAGGUUGAACACUGUUAGUGUAAGAAGUUAGAUCCGCCAUCAUUCAACCAACCAUCACAUUAGCACCCAGCACCACACCAGUUCUGUCAAUGCUUUUCAACAU